CAGAGAGAUAAAUGUAUGAAUUUAACUUCUAUAUUUACCAACUAUAGGAUGCUGGACAAGCAAUUUUGUGUUGUUGCUGAUGAUUGGCUUGCUGUAGAAUAAGAAUAAAUACAUUCACCUCAUUGAGUUGCUGUGAGUGCUAGAGGAGAAAACAUGUUCAAACAUCUGAUAUUGGGUGUGUCACAGAGUUUUUAGUUGCCAGCAAUAGUGAAUAAAACUUUUUACUUGCCUUGGCCAUGGCUGGCCUAUAAGCUAAGGGACAAG
rnacentral:lncRNA from 1 species